GACGAACGCUGGCGGCGUGCUUAACACAUGCAAGUCGAACGGGAUUUUUGUGGUUAUUCUUUGGGGAAUGGACAUGAAAUGAAGGUGGCGAACGGAGGAGUAACACGUUAGCAACCUACCUUACACAGGGGAAUGGCCGUUGUAAACGACGAGUAAUACCGCAUGAUAGCGCGGAAUGGAAUGAUAUAGCGGUCAAAGAUUGAGCUGUGUAAGAAGGGCUCGCGUGUGAUUUGCUAGUUGGAAGGGUAAAUGCCUACCAAGGGGACGAUCAGUAGCCGGUCUGAGAGGAAGAACGGCCACAUUGGAACUGAGACACGGUCCAAACUCCUACGGGAAGCAGCAGUGGGGAAUAUUGCACAAUGGGGGGAACCCUGAUGCAGCGACGCCGGGUGAGCGAAGAAGGUUUUCGAAUCGUAAAGCUCUGUCCUAUGAGAAGAUAAUGACGGUAUCAUAGGAGGAAGCCCCGGCUAAAUACGUG
rnacentral:rRNA from 1 species